rnacentral:rRNA from 1 species
UGGGGAAUAUUGCACAAUGGGCGAAAGCCUGAUGCAGCGACGCCGCGUGGAGGAUGAAGGUUUUCGGAUUGUAAACUCCUGUUAAGUGGGAAGAAAGACUUUGACCUAAUACGUCAGAGGGAUGACGGUACCACUAGAGAAAGCACCGGCAAACUUCGUGCCAGCAGCCGCGGUAAUACGAAGGGUGCAAGCGUUAUUCGGAAUCACUGGGCGUAAAGAGCGUGUAGGCGGUUUCUUAAGUCGACUGUUAAAGCACCAAGCUUAACUUGGUAAAGGCAGGCGAAACUGGGAGGCUAGAGUGCAAGAGAGAGAAGUGGAAUUGUCGGAGUAGCGGUAAAAUGCGUAGAUCUCGACAGGAACACCGGUUGCGAAGGCGGCUUCUUGGCUUGUUACUGACGCU